rnacentral:tRNA from 1 species
UGGGCUGUCGCCAAGUGGUAAGGCAAUGGAUUCUGACUCCAUCAUUCGCAGGUUCAAAUCCUGCCAGCCUAG